GGCCUACCAUGGUGGUAACGGGUAACGGGGUGUUAGGGCACGACACCGGAGAGGGAGCCUGAGAAACGGCUACCACAUCCAAGGAUGGCAGCAGGCGCGCAAAUUACCCAAUCCCGACACGGGGAGGUAGUGACAAUAAAUAACAAUACGGGGUUCUUUCGGGUCUCGUAAUUAGAAUGAGUACAAUUUAAAUCUCUUAACGAGGAACAAUUGGAGGGCAAGUCUGGUGCCAGCAGCCGCGGUAAUUCCAGCUCCAAUAGCGUAUAUUAAAGUUGUUGCAGUUAAAAAGCUCGUAGUUGAGUUUCGGGGUUAGUAGGUUGGUCAUGCCUCUGGUAUGUACUGGUCUCACUGAUUCCUCCUUCCUGAUGAACCGUAAUGCCAUUAAUUUGGUGUUGCGGGGAAUUUGGACUGUUACUUUGAAAAAAUUAGAGUGUUUAAAGCAGGCUAACGCUUGAAUACAUUAGCAUGGAAUAAUGAAAUAGGACGUUCGAUCCUAUUUUGUUGGUUUCUAGGAUUGACGUAAUGAUUAAUAGGGAUAGUUGGGGGCAUUAGUAUUCAAUUGUCAGAGGUGAAAUUCUUGGAUUUAUUGAAGACUAACUACUGCGAAAGCAUUUGCCAAGGAUGUUUUCAUUAAUCGAGAACGAAAGUUAGGGGAUCGAAGACGAUCAGAUACCGUCGUAGUCUUAACCAUAAACUAUGCCGACUAGGGAUCGGAUGAUGUUAAUUUUUUAAUGACUCAUUCGGCGCCUUACGGGAAACCAAAGUGUUUGGGUUC
rnacentral:rRNA from 1 species